CAGUAGCCGCGGUAAUACAGAGGGUGCGAGCGUUAAUCGGAUUUACUGGGCGUAAAGCGUGCGUAGGCGGCUUCUUAAGUCGGAUGUGAAAUCUCUGAGCUUAACUUAGGAAUUGCAUUCGAUACUGGGAAGCUAGAGUAUGGGAGAGGAUGGUAGAAUUCCAGGUGUAGCGGUGAAAUGCGUAGAGAUCUGGAGGAAUACCGAUGGCGAAGGCAGCUAUCUGGCCUAAUUCUGACGCUGAGGUACGAAAGCAUGGGGAGCAAACAGGAUUAGAUACCCCCGUAGUCCCUGUCUCUUAUAC
rnacentral:rRNA from 1 species